GAUGAACGCUGGCGGCGUGCCUAAUACAUGCAAGUCGAGCGAACGGACGAGAAGCUUGCUUCUCUGAUGUUAGCGGCGGACGGGUGAGUAACACGUGGAUAACCUACCUAUAAGACUGGGAUAACUUCGGGAAACCGGAGCUAAUACCGGAUAAUAUUUUGAACCGCAUGGUUCAAAAGUGAAAGACGGUCUUGCUGUCACUUAUAGAUGGAUCCGCGCUGCAUUAGCUAGUUGGUAAGGUAACGGCUUACCAAGGCAACGAUGCAUAGCCGACCUGAGAGGGUGAUCGGCCACACUGGAACUGAGACACGGUCCAGACUCCUACGGGAGGCAGCAGUAGGGAAUCUUCCGCAAUGGGCGAAAGCCUGACGGAGCAACGCCGCGUGAGUGAUGAAGGUCUUCGGAUCGUAAAACUCUGUUAUCAGGGAAGAACAUAUGUGUAAGUAACUGUGCACAUCUUGACGGUACCUAAUCAGAAAGCCACGGCUAACUACGUGCCAGCAGCCGCGGUAAUACGUAGGUGGCAAGCGUUAUCCGGAAUUAUUGGGCGUAAAGCGCGCGUAGGCGGUUUUUUAAGUCUGAUGUGAAAGCCCACGGCUCAACCGUGGAGGGUCAUUGGAAACUGGAAAACUUGAGUGCAGAAGAGGAAAGUGGAAUUCCAUGUGUAGCGGUGAAAUGCGCAGAGAUAUGGAGGAACACCAGUGGCGGAGGCGACUUUCUGGUCUGUAACUGACGCUGAUGUGCGAAAGCGUGGGGAUCAAACAGGAUUAGAUACCCUGGUAGUCCACGCCGUAAACGAUGAGUGCUAAGUGUUAGGGGGUUUCCGCCCCUUAGUGCUGCAGCUAACGCAUUAAGCACUCCGCCUGGGGAGUACGACCGCAAGGUUGAAACUCAAAGGAAUUGACGGGGACCCGCACAAGCGGUGGAGCAUGUGGUUUAAUUCGAAGCAACGCGAAGAACCUUACCAAAUCUUGACAUCCUUUGACAACUCUAGAGAUAGAGCUUUCCCCUUCGGGGGACAAAGUGACAGGUGGUGCAUGGUUGUCGUCAGCUCGUGUCGUGAGAUGUUGGGUUAAGUCCCGCAACGAGCGCAACCCUUAAGCUUAGUUGCCAUCAUUAAGUUGGGCACUCUAAGUUGACUGCCGGUGACAAACCGGAGGAAGGUGGGGAUGACGUCAAAUCAUCAUGCCCCUUAUGAUUUGGGCUACACAUGUGCUACAAUGGACAAUACAAAGGGCAGCGAAACCGCGAGGUCAAGCAAAUCCCAUAAAGUUGUUCUCAGUUCGGAUUGUAGUCUGCAACUCGACUACAUGAAGCUGGAAUCGCUAGUAAUCGUAGAUCAGCAUGCUACGGUGAAUACGUUCCCGGGUCU
rnacentral:rRNA from 1 species